ACAUUAAAGUUAAAGUCCAAUAAUAAUUUAUGGACGAAUAUGUUUUAAGUCUGUGUAAGGGAUUGUGUCAAAAGCCAAGACGUAUUUUCAAAUUUCGCCUACCGUUGAAACUAUAAAUUUGUAAAGCGGCACGAAGCAGUCAUAAGUUUUCAAUAACUGCUGAAGUGAGCGCGGGAUGUCUUCAUCAUUCUUAUAAAUAUCCAAGAGGCAGUCUAUCAAUGUAAAUCUUUGAAGAUUAUAUUGGGGACAGUCAAAGAAAAUGUGAUCAAGAGUUUGGAUGGAUAAAUUACAGAAUUGACAAGUUGGAGAAUCUAAAACACCGAUCCUAAAUAAAUGAGCACCACUACGAGAAUGUCCCAGACGUAACCGAGAAAUUGUGGUGUAAAAUUUUCUGUGGACAUUUAAGGAUAGAAGAAUGGAUGAUAAUCGUUCUAAAUCAACAUUAUUAAAUGCUCCUACAACAUCCAAGAAAACACCAGCCAAUAUCUUAUUGUCCAUCUGGGCACUAUGGAUGUCAAGACAUAAAUACCGUAUACUCUCACAAGCAGAACGACCACAUCGAAAUCCAAAUUGAUUAUUAGAUUACUGUGUGGAGGAAUGUUGGAUGGAAUUGAAGAAGAUUCAGUUUCCGACACUACCAUGGAAAAUUUUGUGAUUGUAGGCAAGUGAUAGCUGCCCAAAGAGUCCUGAUGAACUUGCCAUUCACAGCACAGGAAUAAUGAAGAUGAUACUAUUGUUAGAUCUAGUCCAUUUGGUCUCCAAGAAUGAGUACCCACUGUAGUUGGUUGAUCAUUAUUUAAGAGCAUUAAGUCAUUAUCGUCCAUUACAUCCAUGAUGUCUCUACCUCUAGAAUAGGUUCUAUUACAACCCCAAUUGGUAUGGUGAGCAUUAAAAUCACCAGCAAUUAUUAGUAGUUUUGGAAUACUAUGCAACAGUCUAUUAAAUUUAGAUUUGUCAAAGUUAGGUACACUGUUGCCAGGACUAUAAAAGCUAACAAUUGAGAUGUCUUUUUGUUUGUAUUUAAUUUUGAUUGCUACAUUUUGCAAGGAGUUUUAACCAAAACGAUGGAGUUAUUAUGUAUAUAAACUCUGAUAUACAAGGAUACGUUAAUGAGAGAAAUCCGGCCCUUUAUUGAAUCUCUGGAUAUGGUCCUUACUACAACCAGGUCUCGUAACAUCGUCUUAACCGGUGACAUAAAUAUAGACACCCUUAACCUAAGCAACAAAAACACUUCCGAUUACCUGGACGUAAUAGGGUCCCAUGGUCUCCACGCUGCAGUAAAUAAACCAACCCAUGGAAAAACAUGUCUUGACCACUUCAUGAUCAAACUAGUAGGAAACCCCAAAUGCUAUGUUUUAAAUACAGACAUGACAGACCAUUUACCACUGCUUCUAUCGAUCCCAGGUUCCCCCGCACCCCGAAUACCCGAUCAAGGAGCAUAUACUAGAACCAAAACCGAUUUUGACGGAAUCAAGAAAUAUUUAGUAGAAUAUGAUUGGUCAGACUUUUUAUUAAUUACUGAAACUAAUGAAGCAGCCCAAAUACUGACCAAUAUACUUCAAGAAAUUAUUCUCAAGUUUACGGAUACCACUAUACUUUCACGCCGA